rnacentral:rRNA from 1 species
UACGUAGGGGGCCAGCGUUGCUCGGAAUUACUGGGCGUAAAGGGUUCGUAGGUGGCCAACUAAGUCAGACGUGAAAUCCCUCAGCUUAACUGGGGAACUGCGUCUGAUACUGGUUGGCUUGAGUGCAGGAGAGGAACGCGGAAUUCCAGGUGUAGCGGUGAAAUGCGUAGAUAUCGUAAGGAAGACCAGUGGCGAAGGCGGGUCUCUGGACAGUUCCUGACGCUGAGGCACGAAGGCCAGGGGAGCAAACGGG